rnacentral:rRNA from 1 species
CAGUCGCCGCGGUAAUACGAAGGGUGCAAGCGUUACUCGGAAUUACUGGGCGUAAAGCGUGCGUAGGUGGUGGUUUAAGUCCGUUGUGAAAGCCCUGGGCUCAACCUGGGAAUUGCAGUGGAUACUGGGUCACUAGAGUGUGGUGGAGGAUAGUGGAAUUUCCGGUGUAGCAGUGAAAUGCGUAGAGAUCGGAAGGAACAUCUGUGGCGAAGGCGACUAUCUGGGCCAACACUGACACUGAGGCACGAAAGCGUGGGGAGCAAACAGGAUUAGAUACCCCUGUAGUCCCUGUCUCUUAUAC